AACGAACGCUGGCGGCAGGCUUAACACAUGCCAGUCGAACGCCCCGCAAGGGGAGUGGCAGACGGGUGAGUAACGCGUGGGAAUCUACCCUGAACUGCGGGAUAGCUCCGGGAAACUGGAAUUAAUACCGCAUGUGCCCUGAGGGGCAAAGAGUUAUCGGUUCAGGAUGAGCCCGCGUCCGAUUAGCUAGUUGGUGGGGUAAAGGCCUACCAAGGCGACGAUCGGUAGCUGGUCUAAGAGGAUGAUCCGCCACAUUGGGACUGCGACACGGCCCCAACUCCUACGGGAGGCAGCAGUGGGGAAUAUUGGACAAGGGGCGCAAGCCUGAUCCAGCCAUGCCGCGUGAGUGAUGAAGGCCCUAGGGUUGUACAGCUCUUUCACCGGGGACGAUAAUGACGGUACCCGGAGAAGAAGCACCGGCUAACUUCGUG
rnacentral:rRNA from 1 species